rnacentral:rRNA from 1 species
CAGUAGCCGCGGGAAUACGUAGGUGGCAAGCGUUGUCCGGAAUUAUUGGGCGUAAAGGGCUCGCAGGCGGUUUCUUAAGUCUGAUGUGAGAGCCCCCGGCUCAACCGGGGAGGGUCAUUGGAAACUGGGAAACUUGAGUGCAGAAGAGGAGAGUGGAAUUCCACGUGUAGCGGUGAAAUGCGUAGAGAUGUGGAGGAACACCAGUGGCGAAGGCGACUCUCUGGUCUGUAACUGACGCUGAGGAGCGAAAGCGUGGGGAGCGAACAGGAUUAGAUACCCCAGUAGUCCCUGUCUCUUAUAC